AAAGUGCAUCUCUCAGAACAUGGAAAGAGAGAAUGACUGAAAAUGCAGAGUGUAAGAAAAUGCUGGGAAGACUAAAUGGGAAAAAUGAGGCCAUAACAGAACAAUGGGACAGUUUUUGUUCUUCUGUGUCUACUGUCUAAUGUGGCAUUUGAUGCUUUGAUCAAGACAUCUUGAGAUGUACAGUGGUUGAUUUGUAAU